rnacentral:rRNA from 1 species
UACGUAGGGUGCGAGCGUUGUCCGGAAUUAUUGGGCGUAAAGGGCUCGUAGGCGGUCUGUUGCGUCGGGAGUGAAAACUCAGGCUUAACUCCGUGCCUGCAGUCGAUACGGGCAGACUAGAGUUCGGUAGGGGAGACUGGAAUUCCUGGUGUAGCGGUGAAAUGCGCAGAUAUCAGGAAGAACACCCGUGGCGAAGGCGGCUCUCUGGGACGGUACUGACGCUGAGACGCGAAAGCGUGGGGAGCGAACAGG